UCACCCUGGCAAUGGCCAGAAUACCAUGUUGGUGGUGGUAUUCUUAUAUUGGUCAGGGACAGAGUAAAUGGCAGACCUUUGUUUAUCCUAGCUUGAUGCCUAGCUUGGCGGCCAAAGCAGUUUUAUGCCUAGGACUCAUAA